rnacentral:rRNA from 1 species
GAUGAACGCUGGCGGCGUGCCUAAUACAUGCAAGUCGAGCGAACAGACGAGGAGCUUGCUCCUCUGACGUUAGCGGCGGACGGGUGAGUAACACGUGGAUAACCUACCUAUAAGACUGGGAUAACUUCGGGAAACCGGAGCUAAUACCGGAUAAUAUAUUGAACCGCAUGGUUCAAUAGUGAAAGACGGUUUUGCUGUCACUUAUAGAUGGAUCCGCGCCGCAUUAGCUAGUUGGUAAGGUAACGGCUUACCAAGGCAACGAUGCGUAGCCGACCUGAGAGGGGGGCCGCCCACAUGGGACGGGGAACCGGGCCCAGACUCCUGGGGAGGGAGCCAGAGGGGAAUGUCCGGAAAGGGGGGAAAGCCGGACGAAGCAGCGGGGGGGGAGUGAUAAAGGUGUCGGGUUGUAAAACCUGUUUUAUGGGGGAAAAAAAAAUGUAAAAGAAAAAAAGCACAUAUGGAGGGUACCUAAAAAAAAAGCCAGGGAAAACUACGUG